GUCCUCUUGAAUUUAAUUUAAGGUCUGACCUGCCCACUGAAAUUUUAAAUGGCCGCAGUAAUUUGACUGUGCAAAGGUAGCAUAAUCAUUAGUUUUUUAAUUAAAAGCUUGUAUGAAGGGUUGGACGAGGUAAAAUCUGUCUCUAUUUAAUUUAAAUUAGAAUUUAAUUUUUAAGUUAAAAAGCUUAAAUUUUAUUAAAAGACGAGAAGACCCUAUAGAUCUUUAUAUUAUUUAUAAUAAUUUUAUUUAAGAAUUUUUUAUUUUUUAUUAUAAAUAUUUAUUUUAUUGGGGUAAUAAAAAGAUUAAAUAAAUUCUUUUAAAUAUAAACAUUGAUUUAUGAUUAUAUGAUCCAAUUUUUUUGAUUAAAAGAUUAAGUUACCUUAGGGAUAACAGCGUAAUUUUUUUAAAGAGUUCAUAUCGAUAAAAAAGUUUGCGACCUCGAUGUUGGAUUAAAAAUUAUCUUAGGUGCAGAAGUUUAAGAUUUUGGUCUGUUCGACCAUUAAAUUUUU
rnacentral:rRNA from 1 species